AUUUGUAUUUAAAUAUUAAUGACAUUUUUUUAAACUGAGAAUAUUGGGGUAGUUCAAAGAGCAGACAUUCGAUAAAAUUCAAACAAAUACAUUCCCUCCAAAAAUAUUAAAAACAUCAAACGAUUAUUCAACAGGAUCCAGGAUCUCAUAUCAACCAUCCCGUUUCUCUCAUUAUUGUUAUAUCAAUAGAAAGAAUAAAUAUUCUAAUAAAAAUGGAUGACACAGAUGAAAGGAAACCCAAGAGGCAGAAGAGGGAUACUUCCUAUAAAGCUAAAGCUUUUGAAAAAUUCAAACAGAUUAAAAGUGGAGCUAAGAAUAAAUAUGAAAUUGAGGAAGUUGAUAAUGUUUAUGAAACUGUUGAUGAAAAAGAAUACCUCAAAACGGUAUUGGAUAGACAAGCGGAUGAUUGGGUAGUAGAUGAUGAUGGUUCAGGAUAUUACGAUGAUGGCCGUGAAAUAUUUGAUGAUGAUUUGGAUUCUGAAUCCAUUGCAAAUGCUUCUUCCAAAAAGGGAGUCAAAAGAAAAAAAAAAGCUGUAUCUGACAAUAUUCCAAAAGGAGAUUUGAAACGUAUGCUUUCUAAAAUGCCAACAAAAAAAAAAGAGGAAGAGAAGGUCUCAGAGGAUGUCAUGCUUUCUGAACUACUUGGUGAAAUUGAUGAAAAUCGGGAUAAUUCUAAACCAUCAACAGUAGAUGAUUCUCUUAAAUCUGUGUUCAGUAAUAGAAAGGCUGAAAAGGACUACUUGAAAACAUUUACUCCACCACCUAGGAAAAUAUUAUUAAAAAAAAAAACUCUUGAGAGAAAAUCUCUACAUAUAAUUCCCAAGCCUAUUAUAAAAAAAAUUUCAGAAGAAAUAGAGGAUGAAGCUGCAGUUGUUCAAAAUAAAGAACUAUCAAAUGAUAAAGAUUUUGAUGAAGAAAAUAUUGAUAAAAAUAGUGAAAUGAUUGAGGAAGAUAGUCAAAAAACCAGUUUAACAAACGAAGAUACCACUAUUGAAGUUGAUGAAACUGAGAAUUUCUUCAAUGAUGGUUUAGACUUCUCACAAAUUGAAGAAUUUGAGUCUCAACAAAAUGAUACUAUUGAUGUAGAAACAGUUGAAGAUAACAUACUUGCGGAAUUCUUGGACCAACAAGAAAAUUUUAAAUCAGUGGAAAUUGAUUCUACUUUUAAUAAAAGCAUAAACAUUGAUUCAGCAGAUUUACCUCUGGUAGAAAGAGAUAAUAAAGAAGUUUUUAGGUUUUUUUAUUGGGAUGCAUAUGAAAAUACUUUUGUUCAACCUGGGGUAGUUUUUCUUUUUGGUAAAACAUAUUGCGAAAAGACAAAAUCAUAUGCCAGUUGUUCUGUAGUGAUCAAAAAUGUGCAAAGAAAGUUGUUUGUUCUUCCAAGAUCCUAUGUCUUAGAUGAUGCUGGAAAUCCAACAGAUCAGCCUGUCACCCAAAAAGAUGUUUAUGAGGAGUUCAACAACAAAGUCAUGAAAGAUUUACAUAUAACUUGUUUUAAAUGUCGUUUUGUGACUAAAAAAAACUGCUUUGCUCCAAAUAUUCCAGUAGAGUCUGAUUAUAUGGAAGUUCGAUAUUCUGCCAAAGAUCCUCAAAUAUCUGUCUUUGAAGGAAAAACAUUCUCUCAUGUUUUUGGUGUGAACAGCAGCUAUUUGGAGAUAUUUCUUCUUGAAAGAAAACUCAAAGGCCCUUGUUGGUUAGAUAUACAAAAUCCUAUACCUGUUAAAAAUCCCAUUACUUGGUGUAAAUUUGAAAUAGAUGUGGAAAAAUCAAAUGAUGUUGUACUUGCAAAAUUGGAAAAGCCUCUACCUCCGCCCCCACUUGUUGUUGCUGUAGUCCACAUGAGAUUUGCUCCAAACCCAAAAAACUUGACAAAUGAGAUAGUGAUGAUUUCUUGCCUUGUACAAAACUCGUAUGCUUUGGAUAAGGCAGCUCCAGCUCUUCCCUUUCAAAGCGAUUUUUGUGUGUUUACAACCCCCCAGCAUGCUAUGAUGCCAUCUGAUAUUUAUAAGACACUGAGUAACUUCAAGAGGACUAAAGUUCAAAAAAUGGAUUCAGAAAAAGCAUUGUUGAAUUUCUUCAUUAAUCAAUAUCAAAGUGUUGAUCCAGAUCUCAUAGUAGGUCAUGACCUACAAGGCUAUCAAUUUAGUGUUCUUGCUGAUCGAUUAUACUCAAAUGGCAUAAAAAAUUUCAGCAAACUAGGAAGAUUGAAGAGAAGUAGUCUUCAUCAAAAAAUUGAGAGGGUAUUGUUCACAGGGAGACUUGUUUGUGAUGUAAAAAUAUCAGCUAAAGAAUUAAUAAAAUCUCGUGCAUAUGACUUGAACACUCUGUGCCAGACUGUGUUGAAUUUCAGAGAAAAUCAAAGAUUAGACUUGGAGCCUGAGGAUGUGCCAAAAAUGUUCAAUAAUAGUCAGAAUAUAUUAAAAUUAAUUGUGUUAACAAUGAGUGACGCUAUGUAUAUAUUGAGAAUGAUGUAUAAUUUGAAUACAAUUCCCCUGGCCCUACAAAUUACAAAUAUUGCUGGUAAUAUUAUGUCGAGAACAUUAUGUGGGGGAAGAUCAGAAAGAAAUGAGUUCUUAUUGUUACAUGCAUUUUCUGAGAAAGACUUUAUUGUUCCUGAGAAAAUUAUUAAGCCUAGGGAUGCAGAAAAAUCGUUGAAUUCUAAACGUAAACCAACUUAUGCUGGAGGAUUAGUACUGGAUCCAAAGGUUGGAUUUUAUGAUAAACUGAUUUUACUCAUGGAUUUCAAUUCCCUUUAUCCUAGUAUCAUUCAAGAAUACAAUAUUUGCUUUACAACAUUACCAGUAGAUGGUGCUGAAUUAACUCUACCAGAUAAAACAGUACCUGUAGGAAUUUUGCCUACUGAAAUAAGAAAAUUGGUUGAAAGUCGUAGAGAAGUCAAGAAGUUAAUGAAAAAUGUUGAUAAGAAGAGUGAUUUAUAUUCACAAUACAAUAUUCGUCAGAUGGCCUUGAAAUUAACAGCUAAUAGUAUGUAUGGUUGUUUAGGAUUUUCCAAUUCCAGAUUCUAUGCUAAAAACUUAGCUGCACUGGUCACUCAUAAAGGUAGAGAGAUUUUAACGAAUACAAGGGAUCUUGUACAAAAAAUGUGUUUUGAAGUUGUUUAUGGUGAUACUGACAGUAUAAUGAUCAACACAAAUAUAAUUGAUAUUGAUCAAGUCAAUAAAAUUGGCAUCAAAAUAAAACAAGAAGUGAACAAACUUUACCAACAAGUUGAACUCGACAUCGAUGGUGUUUUCAAAUAUUUAUUGUUGCUAAAGAAAAAGAAAUAUGCUGCUGUUACAAUCACAAAAUCCGAUGAUGGCAAAUUGAGAGUUGAAAAAGAAUACAAAGGUCUUGAUAUUGUUAGACGUGAUUGGUCGCAAAUUGCUUGUGAAACUGGCAAAAUUAUUUUAGACCAAAUAUUAAGUGACCUUUCACCUGAUGAGAGGAUAGAGAAUAUACAAAAUUACUUAAGAAAAAUAAAGAGUGAUUUUGAAACCAACAAAAUUCCUCUCACUAUGUUAGUCAUAACAAAACAAUUAACUAAAGAUCCAAAAUCUUACAGUGAUAAAAAUUCUCUACCCCAUGUCCAAGUAGCAUUGAGAUAUAACAAACAGCUUGGUGGUCACUUUAGGUCAGGUGACACUGUGCCAUAUGUUAUUUGUAAUGAUGGGUCCAACAAUUCAGCAGUUCAAAGAGCUUAUCACCUGGAUGAGUUGAAGAGUUCUGAUAAAUUAACAAUUGAUGUCAAGUAUUAUUUAUCUCAACAAAUUCAUCCAGUUGUUUCUCGUAUAUGCGAACCCAUUGAAGGUAUUGAUGCUUUUCAAAUAGCCGAUUGUUUGGGAAUUGAUACAUCUUCCUUUAAGAAACCAAUCGUUAGAAAUGAAAAUAUCGCUGAAUUGGUAGCAAAGCCAGAAAUGAAAUUCAAGAAUGUGGACCCUUUCAUUUUUGAAUGUUACGAUUGCAAAAAAAAGAAUUCUAUAGAAGGACCCUUGAGACAAGGAAUCAUGGUCUUGGAGAAGUGUUCAAAUUGUAAUGUGUCCCCAGUUUCCUACUUACUUUACAUACAGAACCAGUUUACCCUAGCUAUCAACAAAUAUAUAAAAAAAUAUUAUAUGAAUAUCAUGAUUUGUGAGGAUCCAGCUUGUGACAAUGAAACUAACAGAGUACCAUCAAGAUUUGUAGGAAAAUAUCCUGUAUGUACUCUUUGCAAGAGCGGAAUCAUGUACAAGAAAUAUACAGAAAGUGAUUUGUAUUUUCAACUUAGUUAUUUUAGGCAUAUAUUUGACAUCAGCAAAAUUAAUAGAAGAAAAGCAAUGGAUGACAUGGUAGAAAACGGGUAUCAUGUACUGAAAGAAACUGCAGAGAAGUAUCUGAGUCAAUCUGGUUAUUCAGUUGUAAAUUUGACAGAUCUUUUCUCUGGAUUCAUGAUGAGAGAAAAUCAACAACCUGAUAGUAUAAUAAAUAAUUUUACUGAUAUUGUUGAAGAUGAUGAAGAAUUUUAAUGAAAUUUUAAUAAAUAGAAUAUUUGAAGAAAUUUAUGUGAUGAAUUUAUGAGAAGUUGAAGUUCUUUCAAUUGAGAAGUUUUAUUUAUUUUAUCAGUUUUAAUGUAUAUAUUAGUGCAGCUACUUCAAAAAAUUAUUAUUUAAAUUGUGGUACCUAAACCACAAUUUCAAUAAUAUGUGCAUUUAAGUAUUAUAAAAUGAAAAUUAUUGAAUCGUAAAUCUUAUAUUUGGAAUAUCAGCUUGUGAAUGGAAAUAAAGUUUUUAAUGAACAAGAAGCCAAAGGCUAUGAUUUUAAUACAUUUAUAGCAUCUUCGAUAUCUCAUAUAAGCUUGAAUGCCUAUAUAGCCUGGCAACACAAGAUAUGUUUGUAUUAUGGCUAAGUGCAAAUUGUGGUCAUGAACUAAUAAUUGAGAAGCAUAUGAGCGCGUGUGAGGUAACAUGGGACGAGCGGAAAUGGUGCAAGUAUUAUACGCUUAGUGUUGUAAUCAGCACAUUGGAACACAGUUUUUAUAAGUACAUAUUCACAUUGAAAUACAUCAGAAAAUAUCAGUUUCGCUAUCAAAAUCAUUGGUAUUAUUUCAAACCGUAUUUUGUAAAUACAUUUUCAUCUUUGCAUAUUCUCAUCAUUUUACCAAAUAAAUUUAAAUCUUUCAAUGAAACAUUUACCAAACAGUUCUCAAAGCGCAAGUGCAGUCAUAAAAUGUAUUACCAGAUGGGGAUAUUUGGCAAAAUUAGUUCAAUCAGGUAAUAAAAUUAGUAAUUACGCAUAUUUCUCUUGACCAAUAUAUCACAAGGAAUGUUUGGAUUUUUAGAAUGGUAACCUAAUUUCGAUGCGGUCUUACUUUAUUUUAGCCAAAAUUUUCAGGAAUAAAAAAUUUGGUUGAUACUAGUUUAGAGGCAAUGUCAGUCCAAGAUGGCUUUGAAUAAAAAUUUGCUCUGAUUUAUCUUAUAUACCUUAUUCCGAUAUGAUUCAAUAUGAUGAAUUUAGACAUAACUAAUUUUUCUGCUACCUUUGAGCCCUAUCACUAUUCCGCUGUUUUCUACAGCUUUAAUUCAUGGCAUAUUCAACUCGGAAUAUUCGCCAUACUCAACGUGCGGCCCUUUGGCCCUUUUAUGCGGCCCGAGCCACGGCAUAGUCAAAUAUCACAGUUUUCGAAAUAACGCAAAAAUAACGGUAUCAAUAUUUAUUCAUUUACCUUUGUUUUUUCCCUUAUUGGGUACACACAGAACACUAUUACCACAGUAUAAAUAAAUAAUGGAUUCUUUAUACAUACUAUGACACUACUUAUACCUAAUCUUCUUAGCAAGAAUAUCUCACGUUUUUUGCUCUUUUAGUUUUCGCUUCUAUGUAUUCUUAGGUGCGUUUUUUAGCUGAUUAUAUAGUUAAAUUGUCAUAUUAUUAUGUAAUUUUUUUUUCUGGCCAGUACCAUGAUUUUUAAAACCUCUUAUUAGCAUUAUUGCGCUAAUGAAAGGAUUAAAAAAUCAUGGUACCUACCAAAAUAAAAAAUUAGUCCAAAUUUCUUAAAAUCGUCAAUAGUAUCCCCUGUUUUCGGGAGCGUUUCCCUAACUUCCUGUAUAUUUAUAUUUUCGCACUCCCCUACUGAUAUUACAAAUGCGAAAAAACGUAAUCUGCCUGUCUGUUACGCUUUGACGCAUUAAUCACUGAAUCGAUUUUGAUUUGAAUUUGGUACACAGACAGGAACUAGUAGAGCUUAGGAAAGGACUUGGUUACUUUGUUACCGACUUAAAAAAAAGGGUUUUGAUUAUACGCGAUAAACGAAAACCGCGCGGGCUAAAGCUAGUUUUACAAGUAGGUAAAUUACUGCAGCCCGCAAGAAUGAACAGUAACAAUUAUGCGGCCCAAGGUAAAAAAGGUUGAGUAUGACUGGAUUAGACCAACAGCGGCAGAUAUUUAUUGUGAGCCAAUUUUCACACACUUGGUUCUUUGUGUCGAAAAAUCGAACCGCUCCAUCACCGAGCCCGAUAAAGUGCAAAAUUGCUAGAAGUAGUUCGUAGUCGAUCGUAUCGAAUGCCUUAGUGAAGUCCAGUAACGCCAAAGCCGUAACCUUGCCCUCAUCCGCCGCCCGCAAAAUAUCAUCAGUAACUAACAUUAGUGAGUGCCGCCGAACAUCCGUGACUCCUUCUAAAUCCCGACUGACACUCAGGAAGAGUGUCAUUGUUGCUGGUUUAUUAUUUUCUCCAACACACCUUCGAUACGCUAGAUAAUAUACUGAUAGGACGUAAAUCCCUGUACUCUCUCGGGGUUGGGACUUAUGGUAAUGGUACAAUUAGUGCUGCUUUCCAGCAUUUCGGAAAAACAGAAUGGAGUAUACAAUAAUUGAUUAUGUUCGCAAUAAAAGAUUUCAGAUAUACCUUGGGUAAUUCAAGAGAGACAAUUUACAAAACAAGGAAAUUAGAAAGCAAAUAGAUAUAUAGGAGCAUAAUAAAGGAAUAAUCAAAAGCAAUUAGUUCCAGAGACCUAAGGGAAGGACAAUUAAAUGACGUAGAAGCAUCAUAAGACGUUAUAUAGUUACAGUUCAAACAAAAUUACAUAUUCUUUAAAAAAAUUUAAUUGAAAACUUUUCCAUUAUUAGUAUAUUUUUGUAUUUUUCAUUAUGAGUACAGGCAUUGAAUUUGAA